ACCCCGUACGGUCGGACUCCGAGCCUCUGUAAAGUUCCUUCGACGAGUCGAGUAGUUUGGGAAUGCUGCUCUAAAUGGGAGGUAAACCCCUUCUAAAGCUAAAUACUGGCCAGAGACCGAUAGCGCACAAGUAGAGUGAUCGAAAGAUGAAAAGCACUUUGAAAAGAGAGUUAAACAGCACGUGAAAUUGUUAAAAGGGAAGCGCUUGUGACCAGACUUGUGCCCGGCGGUUCAGCCGUCCUUCUGGGCGGUGCAUUCCGUCGGCUCAGGCCAGCAUCAGUUCGCGGCGGGGGAGAAAAUCAGCGGGAACGUGGCUCUUCGGAGUGUUAUAGCCCGCUGUAAUACCCUGCUACGGACUGAGGUUCGCGCAUCUGCAUGGAUGCUGGCGUAAUGGUUAUCAGCGACCCGUCUUGAAACACGGACCAAGGAGUCGUCCUAGUAUGCGAGUGUUAGGGUGUAAAACCCCUACGCGAAAUAAAAGUGAACGGAGGUGAGAGCUUCGGCGCAUCAUCGACCGAUCCUGAUGUCUUCGGAUGGAUUUGAGUAUGAGCAUAUUGGGCCGGACCCGAAAGAAGGUGAACUAUGCUUGUAUAGGGUGAAGUCAGAGGAAACUCUGAUGGAGGCUCGCAGCGGUUCUGACGUGCAAAUCGAUCGUCAAAUAUGAGCAUGGGGGCGAAAGACUAAUCGAACCUUCUAGUAGCUGGUUUCCGUCGAAGUUUCCCUCAGGAUAGCAGUGUUGAUCUUCAGUUUUAUGAGGUAAAGCGAAUGAUUAGGGAAUCGGGGGCGGUAUUUAGCCUUCAUCCAUUCUCAAACUUUAAAUAUGUAAGAAGCCCUCGUUUCUUCAGUGAACGUGGGCAUUCGAAUGUGCAACAUUAGGGGGCCAGCCUUGGUAAGCAG
rnacentral:rRNA from 1 species